rnacentral:rRNA from 1 species
AUACGGAGGAUGCGAGCGUUAUCCGGAUUUAUUGGGUUUAAAGGGAGCGUAGGCGGGAGCUUAAGUCAGCGGUUAAAUGGUGCGGCUCAACCGUGCCCUGCCGUUGAAACUGGGUUUCUUGAGAGUGCAAGAGGCGGAUGGAAUUCAUGGUGUAGCGGUGAAAUGCUUAGAUAUCAUGAAGAACUCCGAUUGCGAAGGCAGUCCGCUGGGGCACGUCUGACGCUGAUGCUCGAAGGUGCGGGAAUCAAACAGGAUUAGAUACCCUGGUAGUCCGCACGGUAAACGAUGAUUACCCGCUGUCAGCGGCAGACAGUCGGCGGCCAAGCGAAAGCGAUAAGUAAUCCACCUGGGGAGUACGCCGGCAACGGUGAAACUCAAAUGAAUUGACGGGG